UACGUAGGGGGCAAGCGUUAUCCGGAUUUACUGGGUGUAAAGGGAGCGCAGGCGGUAUGGCAAGUCAGAUGUGAAAACCCAGGGCUCAACCCUGGGACUGCAUUUGAAACUGCCAUACUGGAGUGCAGGAGAGGUAAGCGGAAUUCCUGGUGUAGCGGUGAAAUGCGUAGAUAUCAGGAGGAACACCAGUGGCGAAGGCGGCUUACUGGACUGUAACUGACGUUGAGGCUCGAAAGCGUGGGGAGCAAACAGG
rnacentral:rRNA from 1 species